ensembl:lncRNA meiotic kinetochore factor
AUGAUGAUUUGGGUGACACUUUUGGAAAGAGGCAAUUUUUACUCCAUGGACCUUGGCAAGUACAAGAACUCUACUCUCCUGGACUCCAGCAAAGCAGUGACCAUAGAUAAGAUACCACAGAUCUCAAAUCUUUCAGCAAUAUUAGAACCUGUACCAGAGGAUUUUCCAGACCGAUGCGUGGCAAGAAAGAGAUCAUCAAAUUGCUAUUACAGUUCUUCAGCAGUAAGCAUUUCAACUACACUGGCAGGAAAAAAACUCUGUAAAAUAACAGCUGCAAGAGAGAGAACUCCAGACCUAAAAAGUGGUAUGCACUGUUCUUCACCAUUAGGACCGGAAAGCAAGCAUGAUAAACAAACAGCUAAAACCAAAAGGCGGAAGAAAGGAAAAAGCAGUUUUAAUUCCUUAGAAGAAGGUUCAUCAAUGUUUAGGCAGCUUGAUGCUCCAGAAGACACGUCAGUCAGAUCAAAGGGGUUGACAGCAGAAGUUCUGCCAACCAAAUGCACAGAUGCUGUGGAGCAAAUGACUUCCACCAUGCUAAUCAUGGAGGAAAACAAAGUCCUAAAAAAUCCUGGUAAUGCUCAGCCUCUAGAGCUAGAUUUUAGCUUGUCGCCGGUGUAUAAAGCCUCACCUGGGGAAGACCUGUUCCUGAAUACCACAGGUCCAUUUGUAAAUUCAGAAGAAAUUGGUCCUGUGUCUCUGAGCUCAGAAAAAGAAAUUAUUCCUCAAAGUCCAGAAGAAAAGAAUAUUUUAAAGCCUCUGUGUGACAGACAAGAAAUCUGCUCCAUUGUUAGAAUGUCACCAGGCCAGAGGCCUUCCCAGCUCCAGCAAGUUCCAAUUAACUGGAAAGAGUUCUGCCUUCCCAAAGGAGUACCUGAAGAUACUAUUACAAGUACCAAAAAUUGGAUCUACUGUAAACAAAGAUGAGAUUUUUGGCUGUCAGCAGGAGUUCACAGAAGAAAUGACCGUCUUGCUGCUGUGGCAGGGUGGUAAAACAGAACUCCUAACUAGUGAAUAAUGGUUGUAUUUUUUUUUUUUAUGUAUGUUGUUUGAAAUUUAGUAUUACAUGUUUCAGUAAGCUAGUAAAUACUCAAAUACUUUAUAUUAAAUUAUUUUGUACAGCAGCUAGAUCCUGUUCUGGGCAUUAUUCUGUAAGGAUUCCAUAAAGAUGAUUCUUCAGUUUGUUUAGAUUUUUAAAAAGUGUGACUGAAGACCAGCAGACCAAAUUGCUUUAAUAGAAUUACUUUUGUCUCUCUCUCUGCCAAGAUUUCUUGUUUCCUCUAGUAGCAUUAGCAUCUACAGAUGUUAACUCUUUAAGUGUUAAUAUUGGCUAUGAAGGUAACUGCAUAUCCUAGAAGUGACUAUGAAAGCAUUCAUGUACUCUUGGGGACCCAGAAGUCAAUGUAUGUCACCACUGAACUCCUUGAAUGCUUAGAUCUACAGAACUUUGGAGGUACAGAACUGUGUGUUCUGCUGUAAUUUGAUUUCUGAACAUGAAUGCAGGUCACCUUCACCCCAUCAUCACUCUGAAUUGGCUCCUAAUGAUCAGCACUGUCACCAUUCUGGGCACAUCCACUGCCCAGCCAUUGCCAUUUCAGAGUCCUUCUUGUUUCAUCUCAGGUAUGUUGUAAUACCACAUCUCUCGGUCAUUGUUUCUUCUAGUGGCUUCAGACUUAGAUAAAGUAAAUGCCUUACAUGAAUGCCCACAAUGGUGGGAAAAACCCUUUAAUAGCUGAACUGUUUGAUGAGAUGCAUAUUGACAUUCUGGAAUUUCAGGUUACUGCUCACACUGUGUCCACACAAGUCAAAUUCCCAGGGCUUCCUGUUCAGCUUGUGGAUUGUUAAUUCAUAAAUGUUGUUCUUAAUGUGCUGAAUGUCUCAGAAAACAUUGUCAAAACCACAUUUUUUUCCACUAGAAUUCAUUACACAUUAAAGUAAUUUGGACUCCUACAGUGUUCUUACUACAAUCCUUUACUCAGAUUUUAUCUGAACAAAAAGGAAAUUUUUCAAUGUUUCAGAAUGCUGGUAUGGCUUUCAAAAGUCUGAGUUUGUUUCUCAGUGUUAUCAGCCUGGAAAAUAGUUUUGUAUUUCCAAAAAGAGCAUGACAGGAAGACAUACAAAAUCCACAACUGUAGUUUGCAUUUGAAAAUACCUGUGAAAGUUCAAACCCUGAUCUUUUCUCCAUUGCUCUGGGGUAGAAGGAAGUGCAAAUAAUUGCUGCUGGAUUAGUUUGUGAACAAGUAUUAUAUAAACAUUCUAAAUGGCUCACGGUUAAAAAUUAUGCCAUUAAGCUAUUUUUCUUUUAAGCAUUAGUAGAAUGAGUUCUGCCAAUAACUCCUUGGAGUCCUGUCAGGUAUGCUUUUAAUUAUCAAUAUCCUUGUUCUUGCAAGUCUACUAAAGUCACUAGUAAUUAUGCGAGAAUCUAGAGCCCCUAGGAGACAGAGGUGAGCUCCUUGAUGUAGCUUUAAGCAAAAUUGAAGGUUACAUAUUUAGUAAGUUGUGCUCAUGAUGAUUAUUCAAGUAAAAGAUGGUCCAGAAUAAAGAUAUGUUUAUUGUAAGGGUAUUCUGGAAG